rnacentral:rRNA from 1 species
AUUGAACGCUGGCGGCAUGCCUUACACAUGCAAGUCGAACGGCAGCGCGGACUUCGGUCUGGCGGCGAGUGGCGAACGGGUGAGUAAUACAUCGGAACGUACCCUGUUGUGGGGGAUAACUAGUCGAAAGAUUAGCUAAUACCGCAUACGACCUGAGGGUGAAAGUGGGGGACCGCAAGGCCUCACGCAGCAGGAGCGGCCGAUGUCUGAUUAGCUAGUUGGUGGGGUAAAGGCCCACCAAGGCGACGAUCAGUAGCUGGUCUGAGAGGACGAUCAGCCACACUGGGACUGAGACACGGCCUAGACUCCUACGGGAGGCAGCAGUGGGGAAUUUUGGACAAUGGGGGCAACCCUGAUCCAGCAAUGCCGCGUGUGUGAAGAAGGCCUUCGGGUUGUAAGGCACUUUUGUCCGGAAAGAAAUCGCGCUGGUUAAUACCUGGCGUGGAUGACGGUACCGGAAGAAUAAGCACCGGCUAACUACGUGCCAGCAGCCGCGGUAA